CCUACGGGAGGCAGCAGUGGGGAAUAUUGGACAAUGGGCGAAACCUGAUCCAGCCAUGCCGCGUGUGUGAAGAGGUCUUCGGAUUGUAAGCACUUUAAGUUGGGAGGCGUUACCGACAGAAUAAGCACCGGCUAACUCUGUGCCAGCAGCCGCGGUAAUACAGAGGGUGCAAGCGUUAAUCGGAAUUACUGGGCGUAAAGCGCGCGUAGGUGGUUUGUUAAGUUGGAUGUGAAAGCCCCGGGCUCAACCUGGGAACUGCAUCCAAAACUGGCAAGCUAGAGUACGGUAGAGGGUGGUGGAAUUUCCUGUGUAGCGGUGAAAUGCGUAGAUAUAGGAAGGAACACCAGUGGCGAAGGCGACCAACUGGACUGAACUGACACUGAGGUGCGAAAGCGUGGGGAGCAAACAGGAUUAGAUACCCUUGUAGUC
rnacentral:rRNA from 1 species